CCUACGGGUGGCAGCAGUGGGGAAUAUUGCACAAUGGGCGCAAGCCUGAUGCAGCCAUGCCGCGUGUGUGAAGAAGGCCUUCGGGUUGUAAAGCACUUUCAGCGGGGAGGAAGGCGGUGAGGUUAAUAACCUCAUCGAUUGACGUUACCCGCAGAAGAAGCACCGGCUAACUCCGUGCCAGCAGCCGCGGUAAUACGGAGGGUGCAAGCGUUAAUCGGAAUUACUGGGCGUAAAGCGCACGCAGGCGGUCUGUCAAGUCGGAUGUGAAAUCCCCGGGCUCAACCUGGGAACUGCAUUCGAAACUGGCAGGCUAGAGCCUUGUAGAGGGGGGUAGAAUGCCAGGUGUAGCGGUGAAAUGCGUAGAGAUCUGGAGGAAUACCGGUGGCGAAGGCGGCCCCCUGGACAAAGACUGACGCUCAGGUGCGAAAGCGUGGGGAGCAAACAGGAUUAGAUACCCGAGUAGUC
rnacentral:rRNA from 1 species